rnacentral:rRNA from 1 species
GACAGAGGGUGCAAACGUUGUUCGGAAUUACUGGGCGUAAAGCGUGCGCAGGCGGUUCGCUAAGACAGAUGUGAAAUCCCCGGGCUUAACCUGGGAACUGCAUUGUGACUGCGGAUCUACGAGUAUGGCAGAGGGGGGUAGAAUUCCACGUGUAGCAGUGAAAUGCGUAGAGAUGUGGAGGAAUACCGAUGGCAAAGGCAGCCCCCUGGGCAAUACUGACGCUACGGUGCGAAGCCAGGGAAAGCCAAGAGGGAUAAACAAGG